GACUGCCGGUGUCAAACCGGAGGAGGUGGGGAUGACGUCAAGUCCUCAUGGCCUUAUGACCAGGGCUACACACGUGCUACAAUGGCCGGUACAAAGAGUUGCGAUACCGCGAGGUGGAGCUAAUCUCAUAAAGCCGGUCUCAGUUCGGAUUGGAGUCUGCAACUCGACUCCAUGAAGUUGGAAUCGCUAGUAAUCGCGGAUCAGCAUGCCGCGGUGAAUACGUUCCCGGGCCUU
rnacentral:rRNA from 1 species